rnacentral:rRNA from 1 species
CCUACGGGGUGCAGCAGUGGGGAAUAUUGGGCAAUGGGCGCAAGCCUGACCCAGCAACGCCGCGUGAAGGAAGAAGGCUUUCGGGUUGUAAACUUCUUUUAAGAGGGAAGAGAAGAAGACGGUACCUCUUGAAUAAGCCACGGCUAACUACGUGCCAGCAGCCGCGGUAAUACGUAGGUGGCACGCGUUGUGCGGAUUUAAUGGGUGUAAAGGGCGUGGAGCGGGGCUGACAAGUCAGAUGUGAAAUCCCGCGGCUCAACCGCGGAACUGCAUUUGAAACUGUCAGUCUUGAGUACCGGAGAGGUCAUCGGAAUUCCUUGUGUAGCGGUGAAAUGCGUAGAUAUAAGGAAGAACACCAGUGGCGAAGGCGGAUGACUGGACGGCAACUGACGGUGAGGCGCGAAAGCGUGGGGAGCAAACAGGAUUAGAUACCCCUGUAGUC